UACGUAGGGGGCAAGCGUUGUCCGGAUUUAUUGGGCGUAAAGAGCGUGUAGGCGGUUUGGUAGGUCCGCUGUGAAAACUCGAGGCUCAACCUCGAGACGCCGGUGGAAACCAUCAGACUAGAGUCCGGAAGAGGAGAGUGGAAUUCCUGGUGUAGCGGUGAAAUGCGCAGAUAUCAGGAAGAACACCCGUGGCUAAGGCGGCUCUCUGGGACGGUACUGACGCUGAGACGCGAAAGCGUGGGGAGCGAACAGG
rnacentral:rRNA from 1 species